CGUGAGGGAAAGGUGAAAAGAACCCCGGGAGGGGAGUGAAAGAGAACCUGAAACCCUGCACUUACAAGCUGUAGGAGCACAUUUCUUGUGUGACUGCGUACUUUUUGUAGAACGGGCCAACGAGUUACGUUGUGUAGCAAGGUUAAGCACUUAAGGUGUGGAGCCGUAGCGAAAGCGAGUCUUAAAUGGGCGUCCAGUUACCCGACGUAGACCCGAAACCAGGCGACCUAUCCAUGAGCAGGUUGAAGCGAAAGUAAAAUUUCGUGGAGGACCGAACCCACGAGCGUUGAAAAGCUCGGGGAUGACUUGUGGAUAGCGGUGAAAUUCCAAUCGAGCCCGGAGAUAGCUGGUUCUCCCCGAAAUAGCUUUAGGGCUAGCCUCAAGCUUAGAGAAACGGAGGUAGAGCACUGAAUGUCCUAGGGGGUAUUGCACUUACCGAAGACUAUCAAACUCCGAAUGCCGUAUUCUUUUGCUUGGGAGUCAGACUAUGGGUGAUAAGAUUCAUAGUCAAGAGGGCAACAGCCCAGAUCGUCAGCUAAGGUCCCUAAAUGUAAGUUAAGUGGUAAAGGAUGUGGAAUUGCACAGACAACCAGGAUGUUGGCUUAGAAGCAGCCACUCAUUUAAAGAGUGCGUAAUAGCUCACUGGUCGAGUGAUUCUGCGCCGAAAAUUUCCGGGGCUAAAACUUACUACCGAAGCUACGGCAUCAUUAUGAUGGGUAGGGGAGCUUUCUAUGCGGCUUGAAGCAUGACCGUAAGGACAUGUGGACUGCAUAGAAGUGAGAAUGUUGGCAUGAGUAGCGAGAUGUGGGUGAGAAUCCCACAGGCCGUAAACCCAAGGUUUCCAGGGGAAGGUUCGUCCGCCCUGGGUUAGUCAGGACCUAAGCCGAGGCCGAAAGGCGUAGGUGAUGGACAACAGGUUGAUAUUCCUGUACCACCAAUAACCGUUUGAGAAAUGGGAUGACACAGAAGGAUAAGCUAACCGCACUGUUGGUUAUGUGCGGGCAAGUAUUGAGGCAGUUCUGGUAGGCAAAUCCGCCAGAAUAAUGCUAGGGUACGAUGCGGAGCGAAAUUUAGUAGCGAAGUAGCUGAUUUCACACUGUCGAGAAAAGUCUCUAUCGAGGUUAAAGGUGCCUGUACCGCAAACCGACACAGGUGGGUGAGGAGAGUAUCCUAAGGCCAGCGAGAGAACUGUUGUUAAGGAACUCGGCAAAAUGACCCCGUAACUUAGGGAGAAGGGGUGCCUUCGAAAGAAGGCCGCAGAGAAUAGGCCCAAGCGACUGUUUACCAAAAACAUAGGUUUCUGCUAAGUCGCAAGACGAUGUAUAGGAGCUGACGCCUGCCCGGUGCUGGAAGGUUAAGGGGAUCUGUUAGAGCAAUCGAAGCAGUGAACUUAAGCCCCAGUAAACGGCGGCCGUAACGAUAACGGUCCUAAGGUAGCGAAAUUCCUUGUCGGGUAAGUUCCGACCCGCACGAA
rnacentral:rRNA from 1 species